GACUGCGUGGCCUAAUGGACAAGGCGUCUGCCUUCGGAGCAGAAGAUUGCGAGUUCGAGUCUCGUCGCAGCCA